rnacentral:rRNA from 1 species
GAGGAAUAUUGGUCAAUGGGCGUGAGCCUGAACCAGCCAAGUAGCGUGCAGGAUGACGGCCCUAUGGGUUGUAAACUGCUUUUAUACGGGGAUAAAAGGGUGAACGUGUUCUCCUUUGCAGGUACCGUAUGAAUAAGGACCGGCUAAUUCCGUGCCAGCAGCCGCGGUAAUACGGAAGGUCCUGGCGUUAUCCGGAUUUAUUGGGUUUAAAGGGAGCGCAGGCUGCACUUUAAGCGUGUUGUGAAAUGUACCGGCUCAACCGGUAAUGUGCAGCGCGAACUGGGGUGCUUGAGUACGAAGAGGGAAGGCGGAACUCGUGGUGUAGCGGUGAAAUGCUUAGAUAUCACGAGGAACUCCGAUCGCGAAGGCAGCUUUCCGUUUCGGAACUGACGCUGAGGCUCGAAAGUGCGGGUAUCGAACAGGAUUAGAUACCCUGGUAGUCCGCACGGUAAACGUUGGAUGCUCGCUGUUGGAUAUUUUUAUUCAGUGGCUAAGUGAAAACGUUAAGCAUCCCACCUGGGGAGUACGCCGGCAACGGUG